AAGGCAGACGCCUAACCAACUGAGCCACCCGGACGCCCCUCCUCUGUAGCAUGUUUCUGAUGCCACAUCCUCCCCUCAAGCUGUUUCUCCCUUUGGUUUCCAAAACACUGUGUUCUUCUGUUUCUCCUCCAAUCUUGUUCGGUGAGCAUACUGUAUUAGUUUCCCAUAGCUGCUGUAACAAAUUACCACAAAUUCAGUAGCUUAAAAGAACACACAUUUUUUUUCUCUUAUAGCUCUGGAGGUCAGAAAUCCAAAAUGGCUUUCACUGGGCCAGAACCAAAGCCACACUGCCUUGGAGACUCUAGGGGAAGAUCUGUUCUCUGCCUCUUGCAGCUUCUGGCGGCUGCCGGCACUCCUUGGCUUGCAGCAGCAUCCCCCACUGUCUGCCUCGGUGGUCACACUGCCUUCUCUUUUCUGUGCAUGGCAAAUCUCCUUCUGCCUCCCUCUUACAAAGAGACACGUGCUUCUACUGAGGACCCACCUGGAUAAUCCAGAACAAUCUCUCAUCUCAAAAGUGGGUAAAUCAAUCACACCUGUAAGUCUUUUGCCCACUGAAGGUAACAUUUACAGGUUCCAGGAAUUAGGAUCUGAAAUCUUUGGGGGCCACUAUUCAGCCUACUCUGCAGGCCUCCUAGUUUCUUUUGUCCAUCCCAAAUCUCCUUCUGGCCCCUUUGAUUCCCAACCCCCCAUCUAUGUGCCAUGUGUUUCCCUUGUUUUCAUUCACUCUCACUCACUGGCCAGCUCAUGACCUUAAUUCCUGACCAUGAGUGCAGCUCCCAAAUCUACAUGCAUGGCUCUGACCCCUUUCUGUCAGAGAUACACACCCAGGUUUCUAGCUGCCAACUGGAUUCCCCCACCUGGAUGAUCUGGAAUUCCCCUCGCCCCCAAACCUGCCCCAGUAGAUGUCCUUGUGCCUGCCAUAUCAGGACCGGUUCAUGGUAAUACGGGCUUCACCCCCGAAGCCACCCACAUCAGUGUGCCUCCUUUUUCUAUACCCAUCAACCGCCAAGUACUACUUAUGUGCUUCAGUGCUAUGAACCGAAUGUAUCCUCUCCCCCACCCAAAUUCAUAUUUGAAGCCCUAAUCCUCAAUAUGAUGGUAUUAGGAGGCGGGGCCUUCGGGAGGUGAUUCAGCUUAAAUGUGCUCAUGAGGGUGAAGGCCUCAUGAUGGGAUUAGUGCCCUUUAAGAAGAGAAAGAGACACCAGAGUUCUUGUUCGCUCCCUCCCUCUCUCCCUCUCCCUCUCUGUCUGUCUGUCUGUCUCUCUCUCUGCCACUGAGGACACAGCAAGAAAGUGGAUGUCUGCAAGUCAGGCAGAGAGGAUCCUCACCAGACGCCGAACAUGCCAGCACCUUGAUCUUGGACUUCCCAGCUUCUAGAACUGUGGGAAAUAAGUAUUUGUUGUUCAAGACACUUCCCUGAUAGUGUUUUGUUAUAGAAGCCUCAGCUGACUAAAACACUCAUAGUGUCUUGCAUCUGUCUCUUCCUCUCCUUUCCCAGGGCAGACCCUCUGCAGUCACGGCUUGAUUUCUAAGGCUUCCCUGUAUAAAUCACUAGGUGCAUUUCCCAAAAUUUCAGCUGCAUUUGACUUAACAUCACCUCAGCCAAUGAACAGCCUUUCUGAUGUUCACAAAGUCCGAGGGGCAGAAGUUCGACCAAAUCUACUUUAUACUUUCUAAAGCCUGUAUAUAGUUACGGACAGCUAUGUAUUACUGUCCUAAGAACUCACAGACCUCGAUGUGUACGCAUCUUUCUUCCCUAAUGGGACUCCGGAUUCUUGGAGGGGGCACGACUAGAAUGCCUGAUAGAGAACUGAAUUCACAAAGUUGAUGCUCAAAAAGGUAUGAACACACUGAUGGACUGAUUUCCUGAAGAAGACACUGAUCCUUUCAGAUGCUAGUAAAUAAGAGAGAGCUAACAACUCUCUGACUAUUGGGACUCAGUCCCCUCUAGGGGGCCAAAACACUGACAUGGCUUCUACCUGGGGAGAGGAAGAGGGAGAGGAAAAAAGUGGAAGAGAAAGAGGAAGAGGUGGAGAAGAAGAAAGGAUGAGAAGGACGUGGAGGUAGAGGAAGGGGAGGGAGGGAAGGAGGAAGCAGGAAGAGAACAUACUGCCCCUUGCUCCACUAUUCGGUGGGUUAAAUGGGGACCACAAAACAAUGAGCGGAUAGAAGGCACUGAUUGAACUGAUGCUGAAGAGGCCCUUCCCUUACUAUUUCUCACCACGGUUUAAAAAUGAUCCCAUGGCGAUGCCUCGUUGUGACAUCCUUCACAACUGCAGCAAAGCAAUCCUCUUUCCUUUACAUCAACCCUAUCAGAUCUGGGGAGUCCCUCUGUGUCUUUGUGGAGGCCAGAUACUAGAACAAACAUGGCCAUGGCAUAAGCUCCAUCUAGCCGGGUCCCUCAAAGCUCAUUUUACCAAUAUUUGCUUGGUACUAAUUGAAUUCUCUAUUUCAAAGGACUGUUCUAAUCAGAAAAGUGCAAUGAUACAUAGAGAAUGCAUUUCUAUUUAUUUACAUGCAGGGAUGAUAUUAAUGCACUGCUGAUAUUAGCCACAAACACAGAUAUUUUAAA